rnacentral:rRNA from 1 species
CCUACGGGCGGCAGCAGUAGGGAAUAUUGCUCAAUGGGGGAAACCCUGAAGCAGCAACGCCGCGUGGAGGAUGAAGGUUUUCGGAUUGUAAAAUCCUUUUGUUAGAGAAGAUAAUGACGGUAUCUAACGAAUAAGCACCGGCUAACUCCGUGCCAGCAGCCGCGGUAAUACGGAGGGUACAAGCGUUACUCGGAAUCACUGGGCGUAAAGAGCGCGUAGGCGGGAUAGCAAGUCAGAUGUGAAAUCCUAGGGCUUAACCAUAGAACUGCAUUUGAAACUGUUAUUCUAGAGUAUGGGAGAGGUAGGUGGAAUUCUUGGUGUAGGGGUAAAAUCCGUAGAGAUCAAGAGGAAUACUCAUUGCGAAGGCGACCUGCUAGAACAUAACUGACGCUGAUGCGCGAAAGCGUGGGGAGCAAACAGGAUUAGAUACCCGGUAGUC